rnacentral:lncRNA from 1 species
GCAAGACCCCCAGAGACGAGAGUCGGAGGGAUCAAACGACACAGAUGGGAAACUGAGGCCCAGCAAGAGGCAGCCCUGGUGCAGGGACUCCACGCCUCCCAGACGGGAUUAUGAAAUGGCUCCGCGUGCGAACGGGUCCAGGAGCCGUUCGUUGUACAGAGGAGGAAGCUAAGUCUGGAAGGAGCACUCGGGGCAGGCUCAGCGGCCAGCAGCCAGCGGCAGGGGGAUCGUGCAUCGCUUGGAGGGCGCUGGGCUCUCCUCCAUCCGCCUCAGCCGUGGGCAGUUUGUUUCCGCUCCCACUUGCAGCG